rnacentral:lncRNA from 1 species
AAUAGAUUAAUCUUUUCUGCAGCCUUUGAGCAGCAACUUGGAGGGAGGAACCCCUAUAGAGUUCCAAGGAGGCCGAUCCCCUAAAGAGAUCAACCCCAAGUUUAGAAUCUGUAAGGGUUCUAACACCUGGUAUCAGAGCAGCGUUCUUGGCAUCUCGCUGCCCUUCCACUGCCAUCCAUCAGCCCUCCACAACCGCCCAAAGCAAUUCCCACAAUUGGUUAAGAGAUCGUCGCCGAAUUCCACCAUCAUCUCCACCACCGCGGAUCAUCCUUUGAUCUCCCCGUGAAUUGCAACAGGUUCUGGUUUCCUACCUUACUGCUGCUGCAAUUUAGUUAUCCUUAUUCGAAAAUCCAAAAAAAAAAACUGUUCCUAUAUUGCUGCAUAAAUCUUUCGUCACAAA